GUUGGUGGAGUGAUUUGUCUGGUUAAUUCCGAUAACGAACGAGACUCUGGCCUACUAAAUAGUGUGUGGAUCAACAUGUCCACGACGCUUCUUAGAGGGACAAUUUGCGAUCAGCAAAACGAAAUUGAGCAAUAACAGG
rnacentral:rRNA from 1 species